UUUAUAAUCGUUUCCUCUAAAAACAAGGACAUAAAUCGUCGCUCGGGUUGGAAGUACAUCGGCCGUCAGGAUAUCCUGUUCCAACCACUACUACCACUGUGAGUAACUAUAUUUAUUUCACCAUUAGACAAUAUUAGUCUCAAAGGUUUCGCCUCGUUUCUUUGCAACGACAACUGUCUUGUGUGUUCACUGGAAUCUGGGAACUAAUAUACAAGUUAAGAACAAGGUGUGCUGAUAUAAAAACAUGUCAUCCAAACAACUAUUUAAUCUCAAUGAAAACUCAUUCAAGCGUGCCGCUCCAGUUAACAGAAACAACAGGAUAUUGUUACAGGGUUGUAACUCUAAACCCACGCCUAAGCAAACUCCAAAAAUCAAUAGUUCUUCCAAAUCAUCUGGACCAGCUCCUCAAUCUACCCCUCGCCCACCAUCUUUGAAGAAAUAAGUUACUAUAGUAGGCAUGGAACAACCAGUUUAAAU